rnacentral:rRNA from 1 species
GAUGAACGCUAGCGGGAGGCUUAAUACAUGCAAGUCGAACGGUAAGGCUCUCUUCGGAGAGUACACGAGUGGCGCACGGGUGAGUAACGCGUACACAAUCUACCCUUAAGUGGAGAAUACCCCUGGGAAACUGGGAAUAAUACUCCAUAAUAUUCAUGAAUGGCAUCUUUCGUGAAUUAAAGCUCCGGCGCUUAAGGAUGAGUGUGCGUCCCAUUAGCUAGUUGGUAGGGUAAAGGCCUACCAAGGCGACGAUGGGUAGGGGGCGUGAGAGCGUGAUCCCCCACACGGGUACUGAGACACGGACCCGACUCCUACGGGAGGCAGCAGUAAGGAAUAUUGGACAAUGCCCGAAAGGGUGAUCCAGCCAUCCCGCGUGCAGGAAGAAUGCCCUAUGGGUUGUAAACUGCUUUUAUAUACCAAGAAACCCCGAGAUUUAUCUUGGGCUGACGGUAGUAUAUGAAUAAGCACCGGCUAACUCCG